GAAGAUGGCGGCGCUCACGCUCCCGCCGCCCGUGCUGCGUCAUGGCGCGCCCCGGCCCCGCCGGCCCGCAGGCUCGCAGAGAUUUGUGUUAAGAUCGCGCUGACCGAGAUGGAAAUCAGGUUUUCUACCCGAGCUUCUGCAGGGUGAGAGCAGCUGGAGGAUCCUCGAGCUGUGCGUAGGGGUGGGGAGGGACGAGCCUUGGGGCUGUGGCCAGGGAGCAUCCACAAUCCCAGCGGUGUGGUGCUGAAGGAAUUUUGGUUCGUGUGAAACAAGUGGAAAAACCAGGUAUAAUCGCCGGCCCCAAAGGGGCAGGAGGUGGAGCUGGAGUUUAAAACCCAGCCAGGCCAACUUAGGAGGGUUUCAAAGGCAAGAACUGGCAGCAAACACUGGAAACUAGAGGAUUUUUUUUAAAAAAAGCAUAUGGAAAUAUGCAAUGCCUUAGCAAUAACAAGAACAAAAAUGUGUGCUAGACUCCAAAACUAAUGUGGGUUUUGCUGAAAAGGGUGUUUUUUUUCAGAUAAUAAUGGAGAACCUACAUAACCUUUCUGCAUCAGGUUUGUGUAGCUUUAGUUUGGCUGAAGCAAAGCAAAAAUCAGUGUAUGUGUGUGUGCGUGUGUUAGAUGCAAGACAACAAACUGUUUGUAUUGGUGUAAGAGCUGAAUCCUCUAGAGAAAAUGGCACCAGCCCUUGGAAUACAUGUGUAACUCCAGCAGUAGUUGUGCCAGAAGGUGCUGGGAUUGUUCGCCUUCUUUUAAAUGAUGUGAUAGGAACUGCUGGAUCACGGAGGAAAAUCUGAAUACAGUGAUCAAAGCAUAGUUAAAUUGCAGAAUGGUGACUCUUCUCUCAUCACCUCAGCCUGUGAAAUGUAGGAUUCCCAGUCCUACACUUGUGCCAUUCCACUGAAAUCAUUAGAAUUUUUCACCUGGAACACCAAUGGUGUUGUAAAAACAUCUCAAAGUGAGAGCAAAUGGUUCAUUAGCUAUGCAGCUUCUUUCCUUUUCAGAAGUCACCGUUGUAUGUACAGAAUUUAUUAUCGUUUUUAGCAGAUUCUUUGUUGUUUUUCCCUACCAACAGCCAAUCCCUUAAUGAUUAAUCCACAAACUGUGGCAAAUCUGCAAGUUUUGGGAUGCAUGUUUAAGUCAUCUGUGUCAUCUUACGUCAGUAUUGCAUAAUCUGUUGACUGUCCCCUUUUUAUGUAAUGUAUGUUUGGAGUUUGUUUUAAAAUGUACAAAUAUUUUUUUUCCCCUGCGUGCUGCUCCUUGGAUAUUCCAUGUUUGUCUCUCCAUUGCCCUCUGGAGUUACAGACUUGUAAGGCACCAUUUUGGUGGCUGGAUCCAGCAAAUGUUACGUAUUUCUCUCUUAAAAACAGUCUUUAUGAUGGUCUCAGGACGUGUUCUUUGCCAGGUACAGUACUGUGAUAACUGAAGGAUGGCAGCCAUCUGAGCUUCACGGGAUCCCGGGAACGACAGCCUGCUCACCUGGAGUGUGCUCCUUUUACCUGUGUCCUUGGGCAUAAAAAUACAAUUUAUCUGAAUAAAAUAUUACACAGUUUGCCUGUUUA